UGGGGAAUUUUGGACAAUGGGCGCAAGCCUGAUCCAGCCAUGCCGCGUGCGGGAAGAAGGCCUUCGGGUUGUAAAACCGCUUUUGUCAGGGAAGAAAUCUUCUGAGUUAAUACCUCGGGAGGAUGACGGUACCUGAAGAAUAAGCACCGGCUAACUACGUGCCAGCAGCCGCGGUAAAUACGUAGGGUGCAAGCGUUAAUCGGAAUUACUGGGCGUAAAGCGUGCGCAGGCGGUUUUGUAAGACAGAGGUGAAAUCCCCGGGCUCAACCUGGGAACUGCCUUUGUGACUGCAAGGCUUGAGUGCGGCAGAGGGGGGAAUGGAAUUCCGCGUGUAGCAGUGAAAUGCGUAGAUAUGCGGAGGAACACCGAUGGCGAAGGCAAUCCCCUGGGCCUGCACUGACGCUCAUGCACGAAAGCGUGGGGAGCAAACAGGAUUAGAUACCCUGGUAGUCCACGCCCUAAAACGAUGUCAACUGGUUGUUGGGAAGGUUCCUUCUCAGUAACGUAGCUAACGCGUGAAGUUGACCGCCUGGGGAGUAC
rnacentral:rRNA from 1 species